rnacentral:rRNA from 1 species
GAUGAACGCUGGCGGCGUGCCUAAUACAUGCAAGUCGAGCGAACAGAUGAGGAGCUUGCUCCUCUGACGUUAUCGGCGGACGGGUGAGUAACACGUGGAUAACCUACCUAUAAGACUGGGAUAACUUUGGGAAACCGUAGCUAAUACCGGAUAAUAUAUUGAACCGCAUGGUUCAAUAGUGAAAGACGGUUUUGCUGUCACUUAUAGAUGGGUCCGCGCCGCAUUAGCUAGUUGGUAAGGUAACGGCUUACCAAGGCAACGACGCGUAGCCGACCUGAGAGGGUGAUCGGACACACUGGAACUGAGACACGGUCCAGACUCCUACGGGGGGCAGCAGUAGGGAUUCUUCCGCAAGGGGGGAAAGCCUAACGGAGCAACGCCGCGUGAGUGAUGAAGGUCUUCGGAUCGUAAAACUCUGUUAUUAGGGAAGAACAAAUGUGUAAGUAACUAUGCACGUCUUGACGGUACCUAAUCAGAAAGCCACGGCUAACUACGUG